AUGGACCCUGUGGCAAGAGAAAGGGCUUCACUAUGUCGAAAAUUAUUUGUGAGGAGGAAGACACGGGCAUUGGCACAUGAAUUGCAGAGCUUCCUCGCACGUGUCGUCUGUGUGAAAGAAGUCGUCAAUUGACUUUUGUGAGUAUAAGCAGCUUCGAAAUUGUUCGGAUUGUUGGCGCUGACGUGUUCAAUGAAAGAAGAAUAGUCCAGCCAACAUGGUCAAGUUCGGAGGACCUCCUGACCCCACAUGGCUUAUUGGCAUUGACGGCCGCCAUCGGAGAGCCUCGGGCCAGAGAAUUUCUCCACAUGCACGCCUGCGUAGGUUCAUGGCUUGUUGGCCCACUUUUGCUGAGCCAGAACGUCUCUACUUCCUCCUACCUGGCUUUGGUCUUGCAACGGAAGCUCUCUGAAGAGUUGGGGGGUUUUGAUUUUGUGAGCCAUAGUGUCACAUUUCAGUGUUUUGCAAAUUUUGUUUUGACUUCAGGCUGUAGUUGUCUUUUUGGAGUUGUUUGCAGCAAAGUGUGUUCCUGUUAGCAUUACAAUGGUCUCCUCCAAAUCACCUGAUUCUACAUCAGCAAACUGACUCCCAUACAACCCUUUUAGGUAGCUGUCUUUUUAAUGUUAGCUUGCUUGCUUGGCUUUAUGUAAAUAAUUUUUGUACUUUUCAUCUAGUCUAAUCAUUGAAGUUCGAUCUGGGCUGUGACUUUUUUUUUUUUUUCCUCCCCUUUUCCAAACCUCUAACAUGGUUUGUCGGCAACCCUGGCUCUUAAGUGUUUCCCUAGGGGCUUCCUGGAACUUUAAAAAAAAAAGGUUAAAAAUGGGGGAUAGAAAUAUUUUUUGUUUUACUAGUUUGUUCGAUGACAUUUUCCAAUGCUACAAGAAUGUGGAGAAUAAUUACAUUUCUGUAAACGAAGAUUUGCAUCAUAGCCUAACACAUUUUGAUCUGCGGGGCAGGUGGCACUUGUAAACAAACCAGUGGCUGUGUGAUGGGCCACAGAUCCUAAGGGGGGGAAAAAAGAGAUAACUGAGAAGAGAGGACUUAAUGUUUCUUGGAAUCAUUUGCAUUCAUUGACAAUGCAGAAGAAUUCCCUGAAUGUUUUUGAGGCGAGAAGUUGUCAAAUAACAGUAAUGUGGAAAAAUUUCCAGGGAAGGCAUGUUUCAUUUGCAGCAGCGUACCCAGUUCGGAAAGGGUGGAAAAAGUGCGAUUGCAUUACAUUGGAAAAAUGAGAGGAGCGCAGAAAUUUAAGUGGAUUGAAUUUCCAAACUCCACAACUACAAGUUUUGUUGCAACGCGAGAGGAGCUUAAGCGUGGAAAACCAUUCGCAGAUGGAUGGAGCUGACAAGUAAUGUCUCAAAUGGCUCUAGAUGUUUUCUGUAUGGCUUUCAACUUUUGGGGUUGCCGACCCCUGCUCUAACAAAUGGUCCCGUUACCCGGAUGCUGAAGAAGUACAUCAGCGGUGAGACAUAAAAACUGCACCGGAAUAAAGGUAA